CCUACGGGUGGCAGCAGUGGGGAAUAUUGCACAAUGGGGGGAACCCUGAUGCAGCGACGCCGCGUGGGUGAGGAAGUACUUCGGUAUGUAAAGCCCUAUCAGCAGGGAAGAAAAUGACGGUACCUGACUAAGAAGCCCCGGCUAACUACGUGCCAGCAGCCGCGGUAAUACGUAGGGGGCAAGCGUUAUCCGGAUUUAUUGGGUUUAAAGGGUGCGUAGGCGGACAGUCAAGUCAGCGGUAAAAAUGCGGUGCUCAACGCCGUACAGCCGUUGAAACUGGCAGUCUUGAGUGGGCGAGAAGUAUGCGGAAUGCGUGGUGUAGCGGUGAAAUGCAUAGAUAUCACGCAGAACUCCGAUUGCGAAGGCAGCAUACCGGCGCCCGACUGACGCUGAGGCACGAAAGCGUGGGUAUCGAACAGGAUUAGAUACCCGAGUAGUC
rnacentral:rRNA from 1 species